rnacentral:rRNA from 1 species
GAUGAACGCUGGCGGCGUGCCUAAUACAUGCCAGUCGAGCGAACAGAUGAGGAGCUUGCUCCUCUGACGUUAGCGGCGGACGGGUGAGUAACACGUGGAUAACCUACCUAUAAGACUGGGAUAACUUCGGGAAACCGGAGCUAAUACCGGAUAAUAUAUUGAACCGCAUGGUUCAAUAGUGAAAGACGGUUUUGCUGUCACUUAUAGAUGGAUCCGCGCCGCAUUAGCUAGUUGGUAAGGUAACGGCUUACCAAGGCAACGAUGCGUAGCCGACCUGAGAGGGUGAUCGGCCCCACUGGAACUGAGACACGGUCCAGACUCCUACGGGAGGCAGCAGUAGGGAAUCUUCCGCAAUGGGCGAAAGCCUGACGGAGCAACGCCGCGUGAGUGAUGAAGGUCUUCGGAUCGUAAAACUCUGUUAUUAGGGAAGAACAAAUGUGUAAGUAACUAUGCACGUCUUGACGGUACCUAAUCAGAAAGCCACGGCUAACUACGUG